CAACCCUCAAGCUCUGCUUGGUAUCGGGCCGCACCGGUAGCGGUGGGCCUCAGAAUCAGUGGCGGUGCCGUCUGGCUCUAAGCGUAGUAAUUCUCCUCGCUAUAGGUGUCUGGCGGUGUCUGGCCAGCAACCCCCAAUUUUCUAU
rnacentral:misc_RNA from 1 species